GUGGGAGGUUACCUAUACCGUCUACAUUAUCUCAAUUUUAAUCUUGAUUGCAGACAUAAAAAUAGAUUAUGCUCAAAGCCAACAACCAAAGGAAAAGGAAUUUAAAUUUCGAUAUUUUCGAUAAAUAAGGUUCUAAGAUAGAGAAAAUUUAUUACGG